UACGGAGGGUGCGAGCGUUGUUCGGAAUCACUGGGCGUAAAGGGCGUGUAGGCGGUCCGCUAAGUCUGAUGUGAAAGCCCGGGGCUCACCCCCGGAAGUGCAUUGGAAACUGGCGAACUCGAGUCCCGGAGAGGAGAGUGGAAUUCCUGGUGUAGCGGUGAAAUGCGUAGAUAUCAGGAAGAACACCCGUGGCGAAGGCGGCUCUCUGGGACGGUACUGACGCUGAGACGCGAAAGCGUGGGGAGCGAACAGG
rnacentral:rRNA from 1 species